CGGCGGACGGGUGAGUAACACGUGGGUAACCUGCCUCAAAGUGGGGGAUAGCCUUUCGAAAGGAAGAUUAAUACCGCAUAAUAUUGUACUUUCACAUGAAAGAACAAUUAAAGAAGUAAUUCGCUUUGAGAUGGACCCGCGGCGCAUUAGCUAGUUGGAGAGGUAACGGCUCACCAAGGCAACGAUGCGUAGCCGACCUGAGAGGGUAAUCGGCCACAUUGGAACUGAGACACGGUCCAGACUCCUACGGGAGGCAGCAGUGGGGGAAUAUUGCACAAUGGGCGAAAGCCUGAUGCAGCAACGCCGCGUGAGGUGAUGAAGGUCUUCGGAUUGUAAAGCUCUGUCUUUUGGGACGAUAAUGACGGUACCAAAGGAGGAAGCUACGGCUAACUACGUGCCAGCAGCCGCGGUAAUAACGUAGGUGGCAAGCGUUGUCCGGAAUUACUGGGCGUAAAGGAUGUGAAGGCGGAUGUUUAAGGUGAGAAUGUGAAAUCCCCGGGCUCAACUUUGGGGGCUGCAUUUCAAACUGGAUAUCUAGAGUGCAGGAAAGGAAAGCGGAAUUCCUAGUUGUAGCGGUGAAAUGCGUAAAGAUUUAGGAAGAACAUCAGUGGGCGAAGGCGGCUUUUCUGGACUGUAACUGACCCUGAGGCUUGAAAGCCGUGGGGGAGCAAACAGGAUUAAAUACCCCUGGGUAGUCCCCCCCCGU
rnacentral:rRNA from 1 species